GAAUGAGGGGGACAGACGGGCUCCCCAGGAAUGAAGGGCCAGAAGACCCGAGGGCUGAGGACCAGGCCCGCCCCUCCCGCACCACCAGACUCCAGGAGGGCACAGGUGCUCGUAAUUGAAAGUCUUGGAGCAGCUAGGGGUGUGGAGGAUCCCGGGGGGAGGCUUCGUGCUGCAAGGUGGAAAAGCAAUUCUCUCUGCAGCCUUCACAGGCCUUGAAGUUGGGACAGACCCCUGUAAUGCAAGACAGAUAAGAGGAGAAAAACAAACAGUAGCUUAAUAGCAUGUACACCUUGGUCUGCACGGGACGUACUCAGGGGACAGACUAUGUCUCAGAGACGUGGCUUGGAGCUCAGGCUUAAAUACCAUGUUCAACGGAAACAGAGAAAGGGUGUGGGGAGGGGCCCAAGAAAUUACCCCAAACUGGGGUCAGGCCUUCUCCGUGGAUGAGCAUCUCUGGUGACUUCAGCCGGCCUUCUGGCUCAGGGAGGGAGGCACGUCCUGUACGGAUAUGACUUUCUCUCACAGAAGAGCAGCUUCCAUGCUUGCUUGCAGAGUUUCUCCUGUGGCUGCAGUUUCUCAAAAUAAGCAGCUCAAAAUAAUGCUUAUGCCAAAGAGGCAUAUUUUGGGGUGGCAUAUUCUGGUCUGCUCUACAUGGAAGCGAACAGAAAAAUGGGGCAGAGGCUGGGGAGGGGAGCAGGACCGGCUUCCAGUUCCCAGACCCGAGUGAGGGAACCUGAGGCUGAGCUCUGGACUUUGGGGUCUGGAAGGGGUUCUCUGAGGACACUUGCGGGGUGGGGGAAACAGCUGCCUCCUCAGGUUUCCCCCAAGGGAUCCUGCCUGGGGAGACCUGGACUGGGCGAGGCUUGGCAGCUGCCCUGCGAGGAGGAGGGAGACAGGGCUGCAGUGGGAGGUGCAGGGUUGCUAGGGUCCCACCUGGGGGUGCUGGGACUGGCCAGAGGACACAUGGCGAUUUUCCAAUGGGCCAGGAAGGAAGGAGGAGCUUUCCAGGCAGAGCAUGACCCCGCACAGAGGCAGAGGCAGAGUGUCCCCGUCGGGUCCCUGGGGCUGUGGCAGGGGAAGAAGCCGCAGUACCUCCUGCCCUUUAAGACAGGAGAGGCUGUCGUCCCGGCGUUGCCCAGCAGCUGGUCGGAGCCCAGGACUCCUCAGAGGAGCCAACGCCUGAGCCCUGAGCAGCCAGCUGGCCUGGCUGACCCAGGAGAAGGAGGCCGCUGUGCGAGCAAAAGGGGCAUCAUAGUUUGUGUUAAGCGAACACGGAUGGGAACAGCACCUGCCGGAAUCCGCAGGACGCCCGCGGCGGCGCUCGGAGGAACGGCAACCACGUUCAUUAGAAAAUGA
rnacentral:lncRNA from 1 species